CCUACGGGUGGCUGCAGUCGAGAAUCAUUCACAAUGGGGGAAACCCUGAUGGUACGACGCCGCGUGGGGGAAUGAAGUUCUUCGGAUUGUAAACCCCUGUCAUGUGGGAGAAAAUUAAAAAGACUGUACCACAAGAGGAUGAGACGGCUAACUCUGUGCCAGCAGCCGCGGUAAUACAGAGGUCUCACGGGUUGUUCGGAAUCACUGGGAGUACGGCGUGCGUAGGAUGUAUCUUAAGUCGUGGGUGAAAGGCGCGGGCUCAACCCGCGAACGGCAGAGGAUACUGGGAAACUGGAGUAAGUGAGGGGGAACCGGAAUUCUCGGUGUAGGAGUGAAAUGCGUAGAUAUCGAGAGGAACACUCGUGGCGAAGGCGGGUACCUGGACAUUAACUGACGCUGAGGAGCGAAGGCCAGGGGAGCGAAAGGGAUUAGAUACCCUUGUAGUC
rnacentral:rRNA from 1 species